rnacentral:misc_RNA from 1 species
GUCCGCGAUGAAAUUGCAAUAUCGAGGGAUAUCGACAAUGGAAUUGGCCACUUUUCACCGGGACGAUGAAAUAAAUCGUGAAAUUAUCGCCUCUCGAUGAAACGCGUUUCGAUGGAUUCGCGUGUAUUUAUAUUACGCUAUCCAAGCAUGCCACAUGCUAAGGCAUAAGUUUUUCCUCCGUUCUCCGGCAUCGCUAUUAACUCAUCACAUUUUUUACAAGGAGGCGCACGGUCACGCAGCACGGCUCUCGACCCACUCGAUAUAACACACUCGAGGAACACAAAGAUCCAUGGGGCCCCGGCUACCCGGUAAUUCGUAUCGGCGACAACCGUUUAACCGGGCGGAGAUAGAUCACGGACCGAUAGACGGCUUUUCGUCCUCGCUUCGUUGUCGCGUGUUUCCCUCCUCCCCGUUUCGCCCCGUCCUUUCCAAUCGCACGCUCUGUCGUCUGGAUUUCCGAGUGCUCGUUUUAAUACCGCCCACGUAACGGUAUUAUACGAUUGUUGAUACGUGAGAGAUUCCAGGGAGGGGGGAGUUACGUUAAACGAUGAGAGGAUAACGAUAAGUUUUCGUAGAUUAUAGAAAAACGGUUGAAAAGUGGAAAAGUACGUGUAUACACGGA